AGCAGCUGUGCGCACUCCACUCACAACAUUUGCCAAGCUACAACAUACGACGCUGCUCCACAAAAGUGACGGAUUAUGUGUCUAACCUUCGUCACUAGAGUAUAGUUGAAGUUGGGGAAGAAUAUUUUGUCGUGGUUGUGUAGCUACACACUGAGACAAGGAAGUGGCUGUGCGCACAGAUAGCCAUGUUAGCCAGCCGAGGUGGACUAAUGGUGGGAGGAUUGGCUCACCUUGCUGCCUUUAAUCUGGAUAUUCACUCGCUGAACUUCGUAAUGGCUGUCUCGUUGUACUGGUGUGAGAAUGGUGUCUGCCAGAAGGUCCCUGGGAUGUCCAGCAGCUUGUUCAUGUUGGCAGGCAGGAGUUUUAACCUUGGAACAAGACACGUCAGGUGAUGAGUGCCAAGGGUUGAGGUGCAGCCAGACGCGGGGUGGUUGGGUGAGCAGGCAUCGCGAGUCCCGAGACCCCGACACACACACUGCAUGCGUGAAGGAAAGCAGUUAAUAGCUCUACAUUUUGGAAGGUUUCAGUCAUGAAGUUUGUGGUGGAGCAUGUGAGCAAGGAUUGAGGACAGCUAGGCAGGCUGAUAGUAUCCACACUACAGGGAGGCAGUGCACCACUUCUCGCGCAGGAUGUGCUACACCGGUGGCAUGGCGUCGAGGGAAGUGCCUCUUUGUAUCCCUGCCCAGCACUUUUAUUGAACACAUGAAGGUGCUCCAGAGUUUCAAGAAGGGAGUGGCACACACACUGCUGCACUCCAAGCUUUUGGAGGUCCAGCGGCAUACUGCACACUGCUUUCAGUGGCAAGGAUGGAGGAUGCUUCAUCAUUCACAGCAUCAUUGGUUCAUCCUUUCUUUUUUGUGGAGAGUAGUGCACACAGCUUUAACCGAAGGAUUAUGUCAUCAUUCAUAUUCAUAGAUUUCAUGACGUAACAUUGUGUUGACCUUUGUGCAUCAAAUCACUUCAUUACAUGUAAGUGUAUAUUUAGCUACAAGGAGUAACGGUUUAUGAAAUAUGUAAUAUAUUAAACAUAAUUUAUUAUAAGAGAUCUUGCUUUAUGAAGAUUUGUUUAAAGGUCUUUGUUUAUUAGCAUGAUCUAGUUGUGUCAGUCUUAAGAGUCAAGAUUGUACAGACAUGAACCAUUGUCCAUUGCAUUUCUUGCAGAUGGAAUUUUAGUCAUCACUGCAAGGUGUGUCUGUGUGUGUGUGUUUACCUAGUUGUAUUGUACAGGGUUCCAGCAGGGCUCAUAGUGUCCUAUCUCCAUGUGUGAGUGUGUGUAUCUUUGUGGGCAAGUGUGCCAGUCAUUCCUUGAUGUCAAAGUCUUUCAUUUAGGGAAAAAAUAUUGUGUGUAAUUAGGUUUAUAUAUUUUUUUGAGUGAGAAUAUUUAGACUAAUUAAAUUGUAAGUUUCUCAACUUUCUAGAGCUUUGCUGUUACUGUUCAGUGUAAGAUUUCAGGGGCCGCAUUCUACAAACCAUCAUAGCUAAUGACGUGAUCAUAGCGAGACAAAAUAGUGCAUUUUAGACACAAGUCCCUUUUUGACAGGCUCUAACCUUGUGACUCGUCAUAAGUGCCAAGACAGGGUUCACCCUGUUGCAGUGCUGCCAACCACCGUCUUAAAACUCUUGUCAACAUUGUGGGAACUUGGCUGUAUGUAUCAUAGCAUGAUCCCCAACCAUUUUUAUUAUUAAUUAAUGAUAAAUAUCCAUAAAGAUGACUGAAUAAUGUCCUUCUUUGAUGCAGUAAUUUACCAUUAUAGAUAACUGCUGAGAGGGGUACAAUCAGUUUUCCAAAAUCUCAAACAAACCUUACCCUGCAUGGCUUGCUUGUGUCAUGUGUUGGGCUGUCGGGUAUAAUCUUCUGUUUGUCAUGUUUCUUUUGUUUAGAUACACAGUCUAACUAUUCUUAAUGUAGUAAUAUGAUGUCAAAAUAAUGUAAAUUAUUGAAAAUUAUAUCAAGAAGCUAUUUCUUUUUGUACUUAUAUAAAAUUGACAUGUAAUGAGCCUAAAAACCAACAGUGGAGUGACGGUCAGGCAAUCGGUGAGAGCUGAGGCUGACUGUAGAAUGCGGCCCCAGAAUGAUGGUCUGUGUUUUGUAUAUUUAUGGUGACAAUAUAGUGUUGCAAGGGACAACAUGCUGUUUGAGAGCAAUGCCAUUGUGAAAUGCUUAAAAAAUAAUUUUACAGAGUUGAUAGUUCCUCCUAGACUUUUGCAUGCUCUCAAAACACUACUCAUGUUCUUAUUGUUUCAUUUAUUUUAUUGUUUUAUUUAUAUAUUUAAUUUUUUUUUUUUAGACAAAUGUAUAGAUGGCAAUGAUAGGUGGAGUGAGGUAGACCUGUUCACACAGGGACUGCUGCCAUGUAUGUGCAGGCUGUUGGUCCGUAUUGCAACUUAUCUCAUUUUUGUUUCUCUAAUACUUUUGAAAUAAUUUUUUAAGAUGAAAAUAUUCCCAGAGUAAUUAAUGUAAUACUUGAAAAAAUUGUCCCAGGUUGAAAAUUGCAUGAAUUAUUCUAAGUUUAAAAAUGUAAAAACUGUACAAAUUAUGUUCCACUAAGAUUUUCAAAGUUGAAAAUUGUAAAAUGUUACAAAUUCUAAUUUUCUAAGUUGAAAAUUUCGGUAGAGUUUUUUGGAUGUUUACACAAAAAUUGAAAAAAUGAUAGGUGGGAUGAAGUUUACAAAUUUAAAGAAAUUCUGCUAUUGUGUGAAAAUUUUUGACAUUCUGCUAUUGUGAAUUUUGCUAUUGUGUGAAAAUAUUCUAAGUUGAAAAUUUUGGUAGAGUUUUCAGACUUGUUUUGUGUGUUGAUUGAAUAAAAGGAAAGGAAGGGAGA